GUGGCCGUGCUUCUCAAAAGACAGUGAAGAAAGGUGGCUUCUCUUAGAACGUGAGAAAUAUUGGUGGACAGUGAAUUCGAGUUAGCGCCAUGAUGUCUGCAAUAACAGCAUGUAAAUGAAGGUUUGGACACGUUUUGUUGUGGACAACUCUAGAAACUAAAAGCCACGUGACCCUCCAUCCAGAGUGAGAACCUCUCUUUAG
rnacentral:lncRNA from 1 species